AGGGAAUUUUCGUCAAUGGGGGGAACCCUGAACGAGCAAUGCCGCGUGAGUGAGGAAGGUCUUCGGAUCGUAAAGCUCUGUUGUAAGAGAAAAACGACAUUCAUAGGGAAUGAUGAGUGAGUGAUGGUAUCUUACCAGAAAGUCACGGCUAACUACGUGCCAGCAGCCGCGGUAAUACGUAGGUGGCGAGCGUUAUCCGGAAUGAUUGGGCGUAAAGGGUGCGUAGGUGGCAGAACAAGUCUGGAGUAAAAGGUAUGGGCUCAACCCGUACUGGCUCUGGAAACUGUUCAGCUAGAGAACAGAAGAGGACGGCGGAACUCCAUGUGUAGCGGUAAAAUGCGUAGAUAUAUGGAAGAACACCGGUGGCGAAGGCGGCCGUCUGGUCUGUUGCUGACACUGAAGCACGAAAGCGUGGGGAGCAAAUAGGAUUAGAUACCCUAGUAGUCCACGCCGUAAACGAUGAGAACUAGGUGUUGGGGGAAUAACUCAGUGCCGCAGUUAACGCAAUAAGUUCUCCGCCUGGGGAGUAUGCACGCAAGUGUGAAACUCAGAGGAAUUGACGGGGGCCCGCACAAGCGGUGGAGUAUGUGGUUUAAUUCGAAGCAACGCGAAGAACCUUACCAGGCCUUGACAUCCCUUGCAGAGGUAUAGAGAUAUAUCCGAGGUUAUCAAGGAGACAGGUGGUGCAUGGUUGUCGUCAGCUCGUGUCGUGAGAUGUUGGGUUAAGUCCCGCAACGAGCGCAACCCUUGUGAUAUGUUACUAACAUUGAGUUGAGGACUCAUAUCAGACUGCCAGGGAUAACCUGGAGGAAGGCGGGGAUGACGUCAAAUCAUCAUGCCCCUUAUGACUUGGGCUACACACGUGCUACAAUGGCGUAAACAAAGGGAAGCAAAGCUGUGAAGCCGAGCAAAUCUCAAAAAUAACGUCUCAGUUCGGACUGUAGUCUGCAACCCGACUACACGAAGCUGGAAUCGCUAGUAAUCGCAGAUCAGAAUGCUGCGGUGAAUACGUUCCCG
rnacentral:rRNA from 1 species